GGUUGCGAUCAUACCAGCACUAAUGCACCGGAUCCCAUCAGAACUCCGUAGUUAAGCGUGUUUGGGCGAGAGUAGUACUAGGAUCUGUGACCCCCUGGGAAGUCCUCGUGUUACAACCC
rnacentral:rRNA from 1 species